GGGGCUGAAUUUUAAGCUCGACAUUGGACGUUAUCGGUUUGAUCCGCAGGUCGCUUGCCAGCGUUAUAGGCAACAUUAAUAGAUGCAAAAACUUCUAUUAGCGACGCAGUCAACAAGGUUCUAGGCGCACGCCUAGCCCGCGCUGACUUCGCCCUAGCAGCUUAAUCUGCUAAAAAUGCUCCUGCUUCAUGUCAGAUAGAGUAGGAGCGUUACAUAUUUUUCUGACUGCUCGCCGCGUGCCAUUUGAGCGCAGCGCUAAGACUAGAAUUGCUCAAUCGGAAUGUUUGUUCAUAUAAAUAACCGAUUGUUAAGACCACAAAAUGAACUACACCUGUAGACGACAAAUCUUCUAACCCGAUGGACCCGGCGGCGGUAGCCGGCAGCUCCACCA
rnacentral:tmRNA from 1 species